AAUUGAACGAAAGGGUCCUGGUCCUCACUCAUCAAGGAGUUUAAAACAACAAAAACUUGAUAUUUUUCAUUCAUGGAUAAAUUUUCUAAGGAAAAUAAAUUAAGCAACAGCUUUGGAGCUCCAUUGCGAAUUGCAUAUUCUUUUCUGUCGGGUCUUCCAAUUACCCAAUUUUUGAAAGGAACGAUAUACCUCAACAACUCAUGCUCAUCCUUAAAUAUUUUAGGAUUUUCUUUAAAAAACGAAGAAUCCGUAGAGUCGUUAAUGGCGACCAUUCAUGAACAAAACUUGAAGAUAUUUG